rnacentral:rRNA from 1 species
CCUACGGGAGGCAGCAGUGGGGGAUAUUGCACAAUGGACGAAAGCCUGCUGCAGCAACGCCGCGUGAAGGAAGACGGUUUUCGGAUUGUAAACUUCUGUUCUUAGUGAAGAAUAAUGACGGUAACUAAGGAGCAAGCCACGGCUAACUACGUGCCAGCAGCCGCGGUAAUACGGAGGUGGCAAGCGUUGUCCGGGAUUACUGGGUGUAAAGGGAGCGUAGGCGGGAAGCCAAGUCAGCUGUGAAAACUACGGGCUUAACCUGUAGACUGCAGUUGAAACUGGCUUUCUUGAGUGAAGGAGAGGUAGGCGGAAUUCCGGGGGUAGCGGUGAAAUGCGUAGAUAUUCGGAGGAACACCGGUGGCGAAGGCGGCCAACUGGGCUUUAACUGACGCUGAGGCUCGAAAGUGUGGGGAGCAAACAGGAUUAGAUACCCGUGUAGUC